UUCCAACUGAGAAUCUAGAGAACGUCUUUGCAGUUGCAUACGACAUUUUGUCCGAUAAACACUGCGUGCAUUCGUAAGGCCUUGUUAACUAAACAUGGACACCGCAUGGAUUGUUCUCAUUUUUCUAAUGGUGUCUUGGAUUUGUCCCAAUGUUUACUUAUCGGUGUUUGCAAUCCUCCAGCUGAUUCUGACUUGGCCGGUCCAGAAAGGUUUGGCUUGGUUUCAAAAAAUCAAGUUAGAACCCAGAAUGGAUUCAUAAGUCAUCGACUCGCUCGCUCUUUAUCACCCGCUGGCGCUGUAACGUCGUUUUUUUGGAGGGAGAUGAAAGUUUUAUUUUUAUUUUGAACUUAAUAAUUAAGUACAUGCAAUCUCUCCGAUUGCUCACGUGGAUAGAUUGGCCAAUGGCGAUGUGUCUUUUUACUUUUUGUUUUCUUCCUUUCUAGUUAUUGCAUAGUUGCUUUCUUUUUUUCAUUCAAUGUUUAUGCAUAUUCAAUUAUACACCUCGCGAUGUUGUAAACGUGUUGGGUAGGUUUCCUACCGAGGUGAAGUCGAACAUGAAGAGAGAAACGAAACGAGUAUUUCCAGUUGUCGGACUUAUAAACUAACCUCUUUUACGCCAGAUAAUGACCAAACGGUACCGCAAACUAGGAACCUUUGGCUGGGAGGUUUUAGGUUGCCGAACUCGCUGACCGAGUUCCUUAAGACAUUUAACGAAGACAGCUUUUUUUUAUGCUCAUAGGGGUGUGGCUCUCACCUCUCGAAAGAUGGCGCUGUACCACCGGAGCAACCGGUUCCGGCGGUUCUAUUCCGGUUCCAUUAUGAUUAUCUUCCAAUUUUCCACGAUACCUUUGCGUAUAUUGAAAGUUGUCGCUAUCCAUUUGUUCUAGUUUUUCAAAUGCACUCAAGAACGCCUUGCAGACUUUCAGUUUGCGCAGUUCAAUUUGAAACGUCCUCUGAUAACUUACACACAAGCACUUGAUUCAUUCGUCAUCAUGGAUCUUGGAUGGGUUACCUUGAGUCUGCUGGUCGUUUUGUAUACUAGGCCGGACUUUUAUCACGUGAGUUAUUGUUUCCUGCGACGAGUUUUGACGAAACGCCAGUGAUCUGAGUUGCACUGGUCAACGGAAUUCAUCUGCAAACGCAGCGUACCUUCUUGGAUGGAGUGGAAACUUUCCUUAUUUUUGUCUGUGGCCGAUGACUACUUGAAUCACGAUUUCAGUUCGCUUAACAAAAAUAUUCAUUUCGAAAGUUGAAAAUGAUUAUGGACAUACCGGUUAAUACAAUUUUUUUUUUUCU